AGCCAAUAGAUACCCCGGUAGUCCACGCCCUAAACGAUGUCUACUAGUUGUUGGUGGAGUAAAAUCCAUGAGUAAACGCAGCUAAAUGCGUGAAGUAGACCGCCUGGGGAGUACGGUCGCAAGAUUAAAACUCAAAGGAAUUGGCGGGGGCCCGCACAAGCGGUGGAUUAUGUGGAUUAAUUCGAUGCAACGCGAAAACCUUACCUGGCCUUGACAUGCCACUAACGAAGCAGAGAUGCAUUAGGUGCCCGUAAGGGAAAGUGGACACAGGUGCUGCAUGGCUGUCGUCAGCUCGUGUCGUGAGAUGUUGGGUUAAGUCCCGCAACGAGCGCAACCCUUGCCAUUAAUUGCCAUCAUUUAGUUGGGCACUUUAAUGGGACUGCCGGUGACAAACCGGAGGAAGGUGGGGAUGACGUCAAGUCCUCAUGGCCCUUAUGGCCAGGGCUUCACACGUAAUACAAUGGUCGGUACAGAGAGUUGCCAACCCGCAGGGGGAGCUAAUCUCAGAAAGCCGAUCGUAGUCCGGAUUGUUCU
rnacentral:rRNA from 1 species